GACGAACGCUGGCGGCGUGCUUAACACAUGCAAGUCGAACGGACAGGCCCUGCUUUUGUGGGGUGCUCGAUUGGCGAACGGGUGAGUAACACGUGAGUAACCUGCCCUUGACUUUGGGAUAACUUCAGGAAACUGGGGCUAAUACCGGAUAGGAGCUCCUGCUGCAUGGUGGGGGUUGGAAAGUUUCGGCGGUUGGGGAUGGUCUCGCGGCUUAUCAGCUUGUUGGUGGGGUAGUGGCUUACCAAGGCUUUGACGGGUAGCCGGCCUGAGAGGGUGACCGGCCACAUUGGGACUGAGAUACGGCCCAGACUCCUACGGGAGGCAGCAGUGGGGAAUAUUGCACAAUGGGCGGAAGCCUGAUGCAGCAACGCCGCGUGCGGGAUGACGGCCUUCGGGUUGUAAACCGCUUUCGCCUGUGACGAAGCGUGAGUGACGGUAAUGGGUAAAGAAGCACCGGCUAACUACGUG
rnacentral:rRNA from 1 species